GACGAACGCUGGCGGCGUGCUUAACACAUGCAAGUCGAACGAUGAAGAAGAGAAACGCGAACUUCGGUUCAAAUUUCACUUCGGAUUAGUGGCAGACGGGUGAGUAACGCGUGAGCAACCUACCUCUUACAAAGGGAUAGCCUCGGGAAACCGUGAUUAAUACCAUAUGACACAUUCAUAAGGCAUCUUAAGAAUGUUAAAGCUACGGCGGUAAGAGAUGGGCUCGCGUCCCAUUAGCUAGUUGGUGAGGUAACGGCCCACCAAGGCGACGAUGGGUAACCGGCCUGAGAGGGUGAACGGUCACAUUGGAACUGAGACACGGUCCAAACUCCUACGGGAGGCAGCAGUGGGGAAUAUUGCACAAUGGGGGGAACUCUGAUGCAGCGACGCCGCGUGAGCGAUGAAGGAAUUCGUUUCGUAAAGCUCUGUUCUAUGGGAAGAAAAGGACUGUACCAUAGGAGAAAGCCCCGGCUAAAUACGUG
rnacentral:rRNA from 1 species